CCCAGACUCCUACGGGAGGCAGCAGUGGGGGAUAUUGCACAAUGGGGGGAACCCUGAUGCAGCGACGCCGCGAGGGUGAAGGAGCGUUUCGGCGCGUAAAGCCCUCUCGGCAGGGAAGAAGGAGGACGGUACCUGACUAAGAAGCCCCGGCUAACUACGUGCCAGCAGCCGCGGUAAUACGUAGGGGGCAAGCGUUAUCCGGAUUUACUGGGUGUAAAGGGGGCGCGGACGGCAGCGCAAGCCAGGAGUGAAAGCCCGGGGCCCAACCCCGGGACUGCUCUUGGAACUGCGCGGCUGGAGUGCAGGAGGGGCAGGCGGAAUUCCUGGUGUAGCGGUGAAAUGCGUAGAUAUCAGGAGGAACACCGGUGGCGAAGGCGGCCUGCUGGACUGCGACUGACGUUGAGGCCCGAAAGCGUGGGGAGCAAACAGGAUUAGAUACCCCCGUAGC
rnacentral:rRNA from 1 species